UACGUAGGGGGCAAGCGUUGUCCGGAAUUAUUGGGCGUAAAGAGCUUGUAGGUGGUUUGUCGCGUCUGCUGUGAAAAUCCGAGGCUCAACCUCGGACUUGCAGUGGGUACGGGCAGACUAGAGUGUGGUAGGGGAGACUGGAAUUCCUGGUGUAGCGGUGGAAUGCGCAGAUAUCAGGAGGAACACCGAUGGCGAAGGCAGGUCUCUGGGCCAUUACUGACACUGAGGAGCGAAAGCGUGGGGAGCGAACAGG
rnacentral:rRNA from 1 species